UAAAAAAAUCAAUCAUUAUGGUUGCAGACGAUCAAACCGACACAUGGAGAAACCUGUCAUAGAUAGAUAUCGCCAACAUGAUAGAGAUGAUAAAGAACAUAAUUGAUCGUCUUACUCUACAAAAUGAGGCUAAUAAAAUUUUGCUGACGAGGAGAAAGAUUUUGAAUACUGUCAGUUGUUCGUGGAGAGCCUCAACGGACCAGCUCUAAACCUGGUUCUCCAGAUUGACUAAAGAUUCCAUCAUUUACUUCCAUUACCUAUUUCAAAGUGGAGAGCCUCAACGGACCAGCUCUAAACCUGGUUUAUCUGGCAUGGAGCCUCGGCCACUGAUUUAUGGAAGAUGUAUUAAGGCCCUUAAGAAGGACUUAUGGAGUUCAUGGAGAAAUUCAAGAAAGUGGUCUCCAGAGUGUACGUUCUAAGCGACACAACAGUUGAAACUAUGCCACAACAAGGGAAGUGGAUAAAGAUAGCACGUGAAGAUAGUGUUUUACGUAAAUGCUAUAGUUCUUAUAACACCCAGUUUAAGAUAGCAUUUCAAAAUGAAAAUGCUAUCUUUGUUUUUUCGGAUUCUAAAACUUUGUUUUAGAUAGCAUGUGUAUCGUUAAAACGAUGUGUUUAAUCUAGGCGGAAAAAUUAUUUCAUUUCCGAGGAAAGACUUAGCAAAAAUUAUUUCACUCUCCCAAACUCUCGAAAUUCACAGCCAAUUUUUCUCUCAAUUGUUUCAUAUCUAUUUCUUCUUCUCUCAAUACCAAACCCUAAUCCCUUUUACUUUUUCUCAAUAUUUUUCUUCUCAAUCCUUAGAUAAAAAAAGACGGAUGAGAAAUCAACGCCGAGAAGCUUGGCCUUAGUCGGCUCCAAUUCCGAAUCUCUCCUCUCUCUCACACAACUAUGGUGGCUCACUUCUUCGACUCUCCACUUUGAAAUCUCUCCUCUCUUGUAUAUCUCCUCCAAUUAAACAUCUACAUAUGCUCUUGUCUCUGUAUCUUCUCCUAGUGCUCAUCGUCUCUUCAGUUCUCUCUGGCUAUCGAUCUCCUCAAACAAAAGACGAAGCUUGUUUGAAUCUCUGCUUUGUAGAUAGUUUCUUGUGUUCUUAUGCGAGUGUUUCAUUUGGCAAGCAUUGAUUACAUUGAAGAUCUUGUGACCUACAAUGCUGCUGACCACAACGUUGAACAAGUUCGUCUCUUUCUAUCUCUUGUCUUCACUACAAUGUCUAUGCAAAAGAAAUCUUGUUACCACAAUGUGUAGCGAUGGAAGGAAGGUUGAUUAGUACUUGUAUGAAGCUUUCAACUUUGAGAGUUUUAAUUGUUCAAACUUUGAGAUGCAAGCAUAAUGUGUUGUAGCAAACGAUGCUACUUGUAGCUAGUUUUUUGUGUUCUUACUUGUACCUUUUGAAUUUUGGCAAGCGUUGAUUACAUUGAAGAAGGGCUUGCAGGUUUUGAUCUGGAUAUCGAGCAGUGGUGAAAAGCGACUUAAGUUAGCUUCUGUAUCUAAAAUUGUACCUAGACAAAGAACUGUAAGAAGACAUUCUUCAUUUUCUUGUGAAAGUGUUCUUUUUGGAUCUUGUUCUGAAGCAUCUGGUUUAAAUACUGUAUCUUUCAAAGCUGUCUUCUAUGUCGUUAAGUUGCAUCCA